rnacentral:rRNA from 1 species
CACGGGGGGAGCAAGCGUUGUUCGGAAUCACUGGGCGUAAAGGGCGUGUAGGCGGUCAGGUAAGUGAGAUGUGAAACGCCUCGGCUCACCCGAGGACCUGCAUCUCAAACUGCCUGGCUUGAGUAUGGGAGAGGAUGAGGGAAUUCCUGGUGUAGCGGUGAAAUGCGUAGAUAUCAGGAGGAACACCGGUGGCGAAAGCGCUCAUCUGGCCCAAUACUGACGCUGAGGCGCGAAAGCUAGGGGAGCAAACGGG